GAAUACCAUGAUUUAUAUUUGUUUCAGUAACAGUAUUUAAUACUAGAUUUUGAGUCCGGUUGUUGAGUUACUGUGUAUGUGCUUUUCGUUUUGGAGGGGUGGCCACAGGGAGGACCAAGCUCAGUGUUACAUGGGCACUGGCCCCUGUUGGCCCCUGCCUAGAACUGCCCAUGCUACACCACUAACUUCAGCAGUAACAUUUGCUACAAGUCAGGAACUAAUCAUUCUGAGCAAAAAGGAAUGAAGGAGAAUAACAUUCCUGUAACUUUAAAAGCUGUUAUGGGCUAGUAACAAGUGUUCCUCGUCACUGCAUGUCACCCAGCCUCCCAAAAUCAUUUCCUUUUCAUCUUCUCUCUCUUAGGUGCAACCAUAAGUCAUAAUAUCAAGAUCAAUUUGGCAUCGACAAAAAACAAGUAAUUGUUAUUUGCUUGUGUGUUUCAGAUGUGCAGGCUCUCAGUUGUCAACAUGUCCUCCAUAAAAAAGUCGGGGACACAGUGGAGUUGUCAUCGUGUUUACCAGCUGAAGGAGUCACUGCAGCAAAGUGGAAAUAUGGAGGGUCAUUCAUUACAGACAAAGAUAAGACUGCUGAUGAAAAUCAAUUCAAGGGCAGAUUAGAACUGAACCCUACAAACUUCAGUUUAACAGUGAGAGAGCUGACUCUGCAGGAUUCUGGUGAAUUCAGUUUUAUGUCAGAAGUAAGAACACAAAGGGUCACAGUCUCAGUCACUCUGAAAGUUCACGAUUCAAUAACAAAACAGCCUAACCUGACUGGCAACUCCACCUGGCAGGCCUCCACCAACUCCUGCAUGGUCUUGCUCCAGUGCAGUGUGAACUCUGACAUCGAUGUCAGCUACAACUGGACUGUAGGGAAGGAAAUCAGAAAUGGCCCCGGGCUGCAAUACAACCUCAAGACACAAGAUGGAGACACAGAGUUCACCUGCACAAUUUACAAUCCAGUCAACGAGAUGUCGGCAUCCACAACAGUGAAGUGCACCAUCAAUCCGCAAGAACUAAACUCAGGUAGGUACAGCAAAGUGGUUGGUGACAGUAACAGUGAUCUGCAAGAGCAAGGUAAAUGCAGAGAAGAGGAAAUGAUUGCCUGACUUGUAUCUUCUGGUGCAGAGGGUGUAUAAAGUACCUUUUUUUUUAUUGGUGUUGCUUCUGUUGAGUCAAAUUCUCUGAGGAUGUUUAUAGUUUAUUUUGGUCACAGAGUUAGUUUUAGUAAUUUUACUUAAUAUCAAAUGCACUUUGUUCAUUAAUAAAGUCUUUAAUACAAAGAUACAUAACUUUACUCUGAGGAUAUGAAAUAAGAAAAUUGUUAUCCAACCUUUAACAGAAACAAACAUCCAUUUUGUUUUAUGAAAAAGGAACAUAAGUAGGGAUGUUUUUUUCUGACAUUGUAGUUUUUUAAAAUGACAGCGAGUCAUUUAGGGUGUUUAUUUUCUCUGUGGAGCCUGUACUUCACUGAAAGAGCUUCUAGCUAACAUCCCACCUGUACUAGUGUGAGCCCGUUGUGACCAGCUUCGUAAUGCUGGUGAAGGAAAACCUAGGCCGUGUUGUUAUGAUAAUGCGUUAGGAGGAUUCACUUCAGGGUCUUUAGCGGUAGGCGUGGUUGGUAGGAGGAGAAGCAGGGUCGGUACUGAUGUCACACCUGAGGGGGGGGGGUGUGGUGGCUCUGUCUCUGCAAUCUUCAUCAGCAGCACCUGCAGAGGAGCCGGCAGAAAUUGGUUUUGAGUCGAAAGAGACGCCGCGAGGAAGACGCGAGAAUCUGAAGUCACGUUUGUUUUUGUUUCAACACUUCACGGGUUCUUUUUACACAUGAAACCAAACUGAUACGAAAGAGAGGGGCUGGCGGAGGAGAUCGUAUCCAGGUGACUCCAUGGAUCGAACCGUCCUGUAUUUCCACGCUCCCACCACACACAACACGGCCUGAAGAAUUCUCUUCUUCAUUUUAAAAAGACCAUCAGAUAUCCAUUGAAUUAUUUUGUCCUCAUCUACUUCAUAAACGUUUGUUUCCGUCCCCUCAGCUGUGAACAUUGGAGCAGUUAUUGGAAUUGUAUCGGUUAUUCUACUGGUGAUCUCGCUGGUGUUGUUGGUUUGCUACAAAAAGUUCAAGGGUAAAAACAUUAUUUUGCAAGCUGAAUGAUAAUUAUUAUUUCAAAUCACAAUCCACAUCAUUGAUUCAGUAUUUCCUUUUCUUACAGAUCCAUGCUGUAACAGGCGCCAACAAUCUCAGACAGCCAACCAAGAUGAAACACAGCAGCAAGUUUACUCGUCUCUUUCCCACGGUGAUGGCUGUGUCUAUGAAACACUUAGAGGUCCUGAAAAAGCAGAAACAGACGAUCCAGCAAAUGAUUACCUUAAUGUCACACCUCUGUCUGCUCAUCCUUAACUGCCUAUACUGUAUAUAAGACACUCACAGUUAAUGCAAGGUUCAUGAAAAGAGCUGCAUCAUCAUCAACAAAACAGUCAAAGCUCCGGGGACUCAACAACAACGGUCAUGUUUAUGUAUUCAGGGUGCUGCUUUUGAAUAUUAAAGGAGCGAUGUGUAACUCUGACACCUAGUGUUUAAAAUGGGUACUGCAGUCCAAAUUCAAAACAUUGAAGAGAGCUGCCCCCCCCCCCCCCCCCCCCCACCCCCUCCUCCUGGACACUAAAGCUUCAGUAUUGAACCAGCUCUAGUUUCAAAGAACAAUAUUUAUCCUUGUUGUACCACAUUUUACAAGUUUUUUAGGUUGGACAGAAUCAGUUUUAUCAAAACCAGUUUGCCUGCCCAUUUUCAUCCCUGCAACACCUGCUGGUUUGCUGUUUGCCUGGCAAACGGGGGUGGGGGCUUCUAAAUUGGCCGUGUGGGGGUGCUUUAUAAUCGCCUUCUUCUCUAGUCAAAACAAAUUGUUGCUUGCAUUGUUGUCAGAGAAGCCAGCACUUCAACAUAGAAUGUUUCCUCAGUGUCUGAUGUUUUAGUAAGGUCAUUUUAUGAUUCAGUAAAUAUCUGACAUAUUGGACCUUUAAUGCUUCAUGCAAAAGGGAAAACUUUUUUUUUCUUCCGUAUUGUUGAAGGCUGUUCAAAUGAGCUCAUGUAAUCUGCAUUCAUAUUUUUAGCCACUUGGGCGUGCCAUGUGGUUUUAGUUUUGGUAAAGUCCUGCCAAGUGGUUCCUGUGGUUACAUUUCAUUGCAGACGCAUCAGUGAGUGCGUGCAUGAUGCUCAGUAGUUUUCACUUUGCAACUAUGCUUUGUAAUGUAACUGAAAUGUAUUCUGUAGAUUAUAAUAUUUAACCUUAAAUGUAUUGUCCUCCAUUCUUUCACAUGUUUCAGUAUAAAUAUUCUCUCAAAUGAAAUAGUUCUCAUUAGUAUUGUAACCCCCAUUCAGAUGUGUUUUAUUGGAGUAAAUGUAGUUCAUGUGUAAAUAAUCAAACAGUAAAUAAACACGCUCUUGAUCAAAUGCA